CAAUAGCGUAUAUUAAAGUUGUUGCAGUUAAAAAGCUCGUAGUUGGAUUUCUGGUUGAAGCGACCGGUCGGGCGUUGAUUCGUCUGCACUGGAGUCGGUUUUGGCCAUCCUCUAGGAAAGUGCGUCUGGUAUUAAGUUAUCGGGCGUAUGAUCCUGGUCUUUUACUGUGAAAAAAUUAGAGUGUUUAAAGCAGGCCUUCGCCUUGAAUACAUUAGCAUGGAAUAAUAAGAUAGGACUUUGGUCUAUUUUGUUGGUUUGCAGACCGAAGUAAUGAUUAAUAGGGAUAGUUGGGGGUAUUUAUAUUCCGAUGUCAGAGGUGAAACUCUUAGAUUUUCGGAAGAUAAACUUAUGCGAAAGCAUUUACCAAGGAUGUUUUCAUUA
rnacentral:rRNA from 1 species